rnacentral:tRNA from 1 species
UGGGGGAUCGUCUAAGGGUAGGACUGCAGAUUUUGGAUCUGCCUAUCGGGGUUCGAAUCCCUGUCCCCCAGCCC